CAGCCGCCGCGGGAAUACGUAGGUGGCAAGCGUUGUCCGGAAUUAUUGGGCGUAAAGGGUGCGUAGGCGGUUUGAUAAGUCUGAUGUGAAAUCUAUGGGCUCAACCCAUAGUCUGCAUCGGAAACUGUCAGGCUUGAGAGUGGGAGAGGUGAGUGGAAUUUCCGGUGUAGCGGUGAAAUGCGUAGAUAUCGGAAGGAACACCUGUGGCGAAAGCGGCUCACUGGACCAUUUCUGACGCUGAUGCACGAAAGCUAGGGGAGCAAACAGGAUUAGAUACCCCAGUAGUCCCUGUCUCUUAUAC
rnacentral:rRNA from 1 species